rnacentral:lncRNA from 1 species
CCAGCCAUCGCCCCCGCUCCCUUGGCCCAGGCAAAGAGAGCCCUAGGCUCCGAUUCCCGCCGCAGCUCAGAGCAAAGCGAUUGCAGGAUUUAUCAACCCCCCUCCCAGGACCUCGGAUUUCAUCUCUUUCUUUUCCCCCUGCAUGUUCAGUUUGUUUUUUCAAGACCUAAGCAAUUUUUAAUGUACUCUAUACUUCCCGCUUAAUCCUCAUCGUUUAUUGUAUAA